AGGUAUAUAUAUUAGGUUGGUGCAAAAAUAAUUGUGGUUUUUACCACAAAAAGUAAUUGCAAAAACCACAGUUACUUUUGCAUCAACCUAAUA
rnacentral:miRNA from 10 species